GUGACUUUCUUCAAAGAUUUGGAAUAAGAUAUAUCCGACUUCAAAGGGAGCUGCUGCAAGGCUGGCUCAGUCACACCACAUCCACCUCCUCGGGCAGAGCCAGGCUUGCCCCCUGGGCAGCACUGGGGUGCUCUCCUCGUUUGUUCAUAUCAGAAGCCUGUGCUGACACAGGCUGGGUCAGGGCUUCCUCUCCUCCGUUACUACAUCCAUCACAUGCGUAACAGGCUGGUGAUCCCUUGCACCACGCGGGGGGAGCCCCCGCCUUGUCCGGGCAGCCACUGCAGGUCUGUCUCGGGGAUUCAGUCCCAGGCUCGUACCUCGGUGUGAAUCAGAGCCUGGUUUCACCCCAGGAUGCCCUCAGUGCCUCGAGUGCUGCGUGCCUGGUCCCUCAAAGAGCUGCUGCUGAAGUGCACCACGCUGAUGUUGCCCUCUGUCCCAGAAGACUGUCAUUCAAACUCUGAUCUGAAGCAGGGAGGGAAUUCGGGAUCUUUUUCUCAGUGUGUUUCCUCCCCUCCACAUGUCCAGACUGCUGCUCAGAGCAGGGCACAAAAGCACGACGGCAGAUAUGAGGGCUGAAAUCUGGGGUGUGUAAAACAUGCUGGUGCUGAGCUUGGGACAGGUUUGGUGUGGGAAAAGAGGUGGGGAUGUGAGCAGGGGGUUGAUGCCUGGAGUUACAGGGCAAGCAGAAAUACUGCUUCUGGGAGUAAGGGGGUGAAAAACCCUCUGCUGACUGACAGUGGGUCUGAAGGAAAAGCUGGACUAUAUAUCUGCUGCUACCUGGCCAUUGGCCUAACUAAAUAUUCAUAUUUAAAGCAAAUUAUCAGUAAAGUCAUUGACCGUGCUGCAUAAUCUAGAUCUGUACAAGGGUCAGGUGCUGCCCCAUCUCCCAAAUCCCUGACUUUGGCAGCAGGUGUUAUAUCCAUUCCUCUUUCAGAACUGCAGCUGAUCCUUUAAAACACAGUGCUUGUGACCUGUUUUUCAGCCAUGCUCCUGAGAGCCACUGUGGGAGGGCUUCCCAGUCCAGAUGUGAUAGUGGCCCUCCAGGGGACCCUGCUGCCCUGUUGCAGAGUAAGUGGAUGCUUUUCAGUAACCCAUGUGUUGGUGUCAAAAGUCCUUGCUGGUUUGCUUCUAUUCAGCCUGGGGUUACCCGGCAGUGCCGGUGUCAGAUCUGCCCUGUUACUGGUUACCUAACAUAGCCCCCUACAGGAGCCUCCAUUAAAUGCUGUUUUAUACGCUGCCUCUUUCAGCCGCGUCCACAGUUUACCAAGGUACUACUGGAAAAUGUAUAGCCCUGAUCUUUUCUAAUGAUAUAGGACAAAUACUAACGCUGGGACUGACCCAUUUUCUUGGUGUGGGACAUGUGGCAUAGCUGUCCUGGGGCAGCUGUGUGGCAGGGGACCGGGCUCCUCCUGGGAAGCGUGGCCGUGGUGUGACAGCAGCGCACAGCGUGCCGAUGCACAGACCCCUGCUGGAACAA